CUUAUUGGGUUUUUUAUACCCACACUGGGUAAUUUGAUAGAAACAUGCUGGGUUAUAUGUUUACCCAAUUAUUGGUGUGUGGUCGUUUGACCAUAUACUGGGUUAUGCUAACCAUUGAUGAGUUAUUAUACCCAAUCACUGGGUUUAUCAUAACAUUUGAAAUCAGAGCCAGCCAACGGACUUUUUCCUGGAAGUCAACUGAACUGAGGAAACCUUCAACAACAAGGAAAGGUUAACCAGAGAUCGCACUGGCGUCCGGAUCCUUUGUAAGCUGAUCACGUUAUGUCCGUCUGUGCUAAGACUGGAAGUGACUGAAAGACAACACAGAUGCAUUCUUUCAGCAAGGUGACCAAAAUCUGUUUCACUCUGCAGCACUUGUCCUGGAGGUUUUGUAGACAGAACUGGAAGUGAAUGAAAGAAAACGGAGACUUAUUCUUUCAGCAAGGUGACCAAAAUCUGUUUCGCUCUGCAGCACUUGUCCCGGAGGCUUUGUAGACAGAGUGACUGAACGAAAACCUAAAUGAGAAAUAGGAACAACAUGUUUAGAAGAUGAAGUGUUGAAGCCUCGGCAGCUUCAGUAUGCUGUGUACCUCAUCUUGAACUCUUUCACAUGGUGAUUCCUACACAUAAUUGCACACUGUAUGUGUUUAGCUAUCCUAUCUUACAAAGACUUAUGCCAACACUGUAUCUGCCUUUCCUCAAUACAAUGUAAAAAGUGCUGCAUAGACCAUUUAGAGAAGCAAUGUCUCGUGACUUUUACUGUAUGUUUAUUUUUGAUCAAGUGUCAUUUGUUUUGUAAAAUAUCUUUGCAGAUUUUCUUUUCAUGCCUGGACACUUUUUUUCUUUCAAAUAUUGCUUUGAAUUGAUGCAAAUUGAAGAACGUGAAUCCCUGGUAAUAAAGGAAGGUUGACCAGAAAAUAAUUUCUCUCUCCAUUGAUUCAUUAUGCUUUGAUGUGUUUUCGUAUAAUGUCAUUGAAUUAUCACAUAUGUUAACAUGUAUACAAUAAUGUAUACAAAUUAUUUAAAACAUUAAUAGUGAUCAGAUUGGUUCUAUUUGAGCAAUGGUUAGCAGUGAGUAUUUAAAAUGGUCAAAUGUGUUGCAUAUUGUUAAAGUGAUAUGUAACCAUUUCUGGAAAUAGGCAGAUUUUUACACAUCCCCUUGAGUAAUUGAGCCUUACUUUUCUCCUGUUCUUUCAGCCAUUUCCUGAGUUUGGCAAUGCAACUUCUACCUCCAAGCAGGCAAUUAUCAUUGACCAGUGGCAUUCACUAGCCGCUGGCUGGUCCCAUAAGAUUCAAUGAUAGUUGCUUGCUUGGAACUCGACGAUUGCCAAUCAAAGGAAACAACUGAAAGAAUUGGAGAAAAGUAAAAGGCAAUUCCCAAAUAACCCAGU